UUCCUGUUCUAAGAUCACUCUGUUCCUGGCCAUGCUUGAUUUCAUGUGAUGGGACUCUUCUUUACCCUAAUGCUUUGUAAACCAUCUGAAGCCUCUGGAGAGUCGCUGCCCAUCAGAAUCAACAGUACUGAGCUAGAUGGACCAGUGGCCUGACCAGGGAAGCCUGUUCCAAAAAUGUGGUCUGGAACUCCCUGCUGCUCCAGGGAAGAGAGAAAUCGUGCCAUCGCUUGCUGUCUGGGCCCCUGGGGCAUCCCAGUGCAUGACUGUUCUUCUGAUGGAUCCAUCACCCACUUGACAGCUUCAUUACCUCCUAACAAGCAAGAGGCUGCUCUCUCAGUGCAGGUGAUGCAGCCCCAUGCACUGCCAGGGAAAUGGCACUCACAAGGCAUGAGCGGUGCAUGGAGACAAUGGGGUGCCAGGGAGGGUCACUGAGGAACAGUGGCAAGAGAGAAACAGUGGCUGGAUGUAUUUUUAAAAUAUCAGUUGCUGAAAGGAGAUGCAUCAACAC